rnacentral:miRNA from 1 species
CUUUUGGCUUCCCAGUGUGUCCCGCUUCUUUGGAACGUGGCAAACGUGGAAGCCGAGAGGGCUCU